rnacentral:rRNA from 1 species
GAUGAACGCUGGCGGCGUGCCUAAUACAUGCAAGUCGAGCGAACAGACGAGGAGCUUGCUCCUCUGACGUUAGCGGCGGACGGGUGAGUAACACGUGGAUAACCUACCUAUAAGACUGGGAUAACUUCGGGAAACCGGAGCUAAUACCGGAUAAUAUAUUGAACCGCAUGGUUCAAUAGUGAAAGACGGUUUUGCUGUCACUUAUAGAUGGAUCCGCGCCGCAUUAGCUAGUUGGUAAGGUAACGGCUUACCAAGGCAACGAUGCGUAGCCGACCUGAGAGGGUGAUCGGCCACACUGGAACUGAGACACGGUCCAGACUCCUACGGGAGGCAGCAGUAGGGAAUCUUCCGCAAUGGGCGAAGGCUUGACGGAGCAACGCCGCGUGAGUGAUGAAGGUCUUCGGAUCGUAAAACUCUGUAUUAGGGAAGAACAAAUGUGUAAGUAACUAUGCACGUCUUGACGGUACCUAAUCAGAAAGCCACGGCUAACUACGU